rnacentral:rRNA from 1 species
UACGUAGGGUGCAAGCGUUAAUCGGAAUUACUGGGCGUAAAGCGUGCGCAGGCGGUUUUGUAAGUCUGAUGUGAAAGCCCCGGGCUUAACCUGGGAACUGCAUUCAAAACUGCACGGCUAGAGUACGGGAGAGGGGGGUAGAAUUCCACGUGUAGCAGUGAAAUGCGUAGAGAUGUGGAGGAAUACCGAUGGCGAAGGCAGCCCCCUGGGACGUCACUGACGCUCAUGCACGAAAGCGUGGGGAGCAAACAGGAUUAGAAACCCCUGUAGU